rnacentral:rRNA from 1 species
UACGGGGGGAGCAAGGCGUUACUCGGAAUUAUUGGGCGUAAAGGGCGCGUAGGCGGUCCUAGUAAGUCUUCUGUGAAAGCCCAGGGCUUAACCUUGGAAGUGCAGGAGAAACUGCAGGAAUUGAGUUCCGGAGAGGAAGGCAGAAUUCCCGGUGUAGCGGUGAAAUUCGUAGAUAGUCAAAGCGGAACACCGGUGGCGAAGGCGGCCUUCUGGACAGUGACUGACGCUGAGGCACGAAGGCCAGGGGAGCAAAGCGG